rnacentral:rRNA from 1 species
CCUACGUGAGGCUGCAGUGGGGAAUAUUGGACAAUGGGCGAAAGCCUGAUCCAGCCAUGCCGCGUGUGUGAAGAAGGCCUUCGGGUUGUAAAGCACUUUCAGUGGGGAAGAAAGCCUUGGGGCUAAUACCCUCGAGGAAGGACUUCACCCACAGAAGAAGCACCGGCUAACUCCGUGCCAGCAGCCGCGGUAAUACGGAGGGUGCGAGCGUUAAUCGGAAUUACUGGGCGUAAAGCGCGCGUAGGCGGUCUGAUAAGCCGGUUGUGAAAGCCCCGGGCUCAACCUGGGAACGGCAUCCGGAACUGUCAGGCUAGAGUGCAGGAGAGGAAGGUAGAAUUCCCGGUGUAGCGGUGAAAUGCGUAGAGAUCGGGAGGAAUACCAGUGGCGAAGGCGGCCUUCUGGACUGACACUGACGCUGAGGUGCGAAAGCGUGGGUAGCAAACAGGAUUAGAUACCCUAGUAGUC